ACUCCGUGCUGCCUUUGGCAUCAGUGAUUCUUAUGUAGAUGGCAGCUCUUUUGAUCCUCAGCGUCGUGCCCGAGAAGCUAAACAACCAGCUCCUGAGCCUCCCAAACCUUACAGCCUUGUUCGGGAGUCUAGCAGUUCUCGCUCACCAACCCCAAAGCAGAAGAAGAAGAAAAAGAAGAAAGAUAGAGGACGCAGGUCAGAGAGCAGCUCUCCUCGACGAGAGAGAAAGAAAAGCUCAAAGAAGAAGAAGCACAGGUCAGAAUCUGAGUCCAAGAAACGUAAGCAUAGGUCUCCCACUCCAAAGAGCAAACGUAAAUCUAAGGACAAAAAGCGAAAGCGGUCUCGAAGUACAACACCAGCCCCCAAGAGUCGCCGGGCCCACCGUUCAACUUCUGCGGACUCUGCUUCCUCCUCCGAUACUUCCCGCAGUCGGCGCUGCACAGACCAUUCGGAAGACACGGUCCCUGCCCUCUAGGAGCUGACAGGCUAAAGCAACAGGAUGGACAGACAUAUACAUUUCCCCUUCUCUUUUUUUUUUGUUUUUGUUUAUUUGUUAUUUUUGUUUCGUUCUGAUGUAUAUGGACUGCCAGAAUAGGGGGGGUGGUGGUUUGUUCGUGGUGUCUGGGGGAGGAAGGAAUCCUUACCCUGGCUUCCUUAAUCGGGGAAGGCUUCCUGAAGGAGGUGGGCUCAGAGGU
rnacentral:sRNA from 1 species